rnacentral:rRNA from 1 species
UUUUAGAAAUUAAUUUAAAGUCUAACCUGCCCACUGAAUAAUUUUAAAUGGCCGCAGUAUCCUAACUGUGCAAAGGUAGCAUAAUCAUUAGUCUUUUAAUUGAAGGCUGGAAUGAAUGGUUGGAUGAAAUAUUAACUGUUUCAUAAAAAUUUUUAAUAGAAUUUUAUUUUUUAGUCAAAAAGCUAAAAUAUUAUUAAAAGACGAGAAGACCCUAUAAAUCUUUAUAUUUAAAUAAUUUUAAUUAUUUAGAUAAAUUAAAUUAUAAUUAUUUUAAAUAUUUUAUUGGGGUGAUAUUAAAAUUUAAUAAACUUUUAAUUUAUAAUAAACAUAAAUUAAUGAAUUAUUGAUCCAUUUAUUAUGAUUAAAAAAUUAAGUUACUUUAGGGAUAACAGCGUAAUUUUUUUAGAGAGUUCAUAUUGAUAAAAAAGAUUGCGACCUCGAUGUUGGAUUAAGAUAUAGUUUUAGGUGCAGCAGCUUAAACUUAAAGUCUGUUCGACUUUUAAAUUCUUACA